rnacentral:rRNA from 1 species
GGGAGCACGCUUAGGCGUGUGACUGCGUACCUUUUGUAUAAUGGGUCAGCGACUUAUAUUCUGUAGCAAGGUUAACCGAAUAGGGGAGCCGAAGGGAAACCGAGUCUUAACUGGGCGUUAAGUUGCAGGGUAUAGACCCGAAACCCGGUGAUCUAGCCAUGGGCAGGUUGAAGGUUGGGUAACACUAACUGGAGGACCGAACCGACUAAUGUUGAAAAAUUAGCGGAUGACUUGUGGCUGGGGGUGAAAGGCCAAUCAAACCGGGAGAUAGCUGGUUCUCCCCGAAAGCUAUUUAGGUAGCGCCUCGUGAAUUCAUCUCCGGGGGUAGAGCACUGUUUCGGCAAGGGGGUCAUCCCGACUUACCAACCCGAUGCAAACUGCGAAUACCGGAGAAUGUUAUCACGGGAGACACACGGCGGGUGCUAACGUCCGUCGUGAAGAGGGAAACAACCCAGACCGCCAGCUAAGGUCCCAAAGUCAUGGUUAAGUGGGAAACGAUGUGGGAAGGCCCAGACAGCCAGGAUGUUGGCUUAGAAGCAGCCAUCAUUUAAAGAAAGCGUAAUAGCUCACUGGUCGAGUCGGCCUGCGCGGAAGAUGUAACGGGGCUAAACCAUGCACCGAAGCUGCGGCAGCGACGCUUAUGCGUUGUUGGGUAGGGGAGCGUUCUGUAAGCCUGCGAAGGUGUGCUGUGAGGCAUGCUGGAGGUAUCAGAAGUGCGAAUGCUGACAUAAGUAACGAUAAAGCGGGUGAAAAGCCCGCUCGCCGGAAGACCAAGGGUUCCUGUCCAACGUUAAUCGGGGCAGGGUGAGUCGACCCCUAAGGCGAGGCCGAAAGGCGUAGUCGAUGGGAAACAGGUUAAUAUUCCUGUACUUGGUGUUACUGCGAAGGGGGGACGGAGAAGGCUAUGUUGGCCGGGCGACGGUUGUCCCGGUUUAAGCGUGUAGGCUGGUUUUCCAGGCAAAUCCGGAAAAUCAAGGCUGAGGCGUGAUGACGAGGCACUACGGUGCUGAAGCAACAAAUGCCCUGCUUCC